GAUACCAGGGUGAAAAGGUCAAAAUGCCGUUCCUGCUUGCAGGAUAAGGCAUUUGAACUUGGAACCCGUCAAAUAUGAGGAAGCAGCGAUUUACGCAGUAAAUCAGCGAAUUCCGAAUAUUUGCAGAAUUGCGGGAGCUGCGUUGCAGCGUAGCAAUUCGCAGG
rnacentral:sRNA from 1 species